rnacentral:tRNA from 1 species
GCCCAGAUAUCUCAGUCAGUAGAGCAUCAGACUUUUACUCUGAGGGUCCAGGGUUCAAGUCCCUGUUUGGGUG